GACGAACGCUGGCGGCGUGCUUAACACAUGCAAGUCGAACGGAAAGGCCCUGCUUUUGUGGGGUGCUCGAGUGGCGAACGGGUGAGUAACACGUGAGUAACCUGCCCUUGACUUUGGGAUAACUUCAGGAAACUGGGGCUAAUACCGGAUAGGAGCUCCUGCUGCAUGGUGGGGGUUGGAAAGUUUCGGCGGUUGGGGAUGGGCUCGCGGCUUAUCAGCUUGUUGGUGGGGUAGUGGCUUACCAAGGCUUUGACGGGUAGCCGGCCUGAGAGGGUGACCGGCCACAUUGGGACUGAGAUACGGCCCAGACUCCUACGGGAGGCAGCAGUGGGGAAUAUGGCACAAUGGGCGGAAGCCUGAUGCAGCAACGCCGCGUGCGGGAUGACGGCCUUCGGGUUGUAAACCGCUUUCGCCUGUGACGAAGCGUGAGUGACGGGAAUGGGUAAAGAAGCACCGGCGAACUACGG
rnacentral:rRNA from 1 species